rnacentral:rRNA from 1 species
ACACAACUCUCAGCAACGGAUAUCUUGGCUCUUGCAACGAUGAAGAACGCAGCGAAAUGCGAUACGUAGUGUGAAUUGCAGAAUUCCGCGAAUCAUCGAGUCUUUGAACGCAAGUUGCGCCCGAGGCUUGUCCAAGGGCAUCUCUGCCAGAGCGUCACC